GCCGUCAUGGUGUAGUGGUCAGCACGCUCGACGCAUAACCGAGAGGUCCGUGGUUCGAUUCCCUACGAAGGCG
rfam:Stegodyphus mimosarum contig103640, whole genome shotgun sequence.